GUUCGGUUGGCCCAAUGGUAAGGCGCCUUGGGUGGUUGGUGGCAGCACGAGGAGAUGGAGGUUCGACCCCUCCACUGAACC